GAUGAACGCUGGCGGCGUGCCUAAUACAUGCCAGUCGAGCGAACAGACGAGGAGCUUGCUCCCCUGACGUUAGCGGCGGACGGGUGAGUAACACGUGGAUAACCUACCUAUAAGACUGGGAUAACUUCGGGAAACCGGAGCUAAUACCGGAUAAUAUAUUGAACCGCAUGGUUCAAUAGUGAAAGACGGUUUUGCUGUCACUUAUAGAUGGAUCCGCGCCGCAUUAGCUAGUUGGUAAGGUAACGGCUUACCAAGGCAACGAUGCGUAGCCGACCUGAGAGGGUGAUCGGCCACACUGGAACUGAGACACGGUCCAGACUCCUACGGGAGGCAGCAGUAGGGAAUCUUCCGCAAUGGGCGAAAGCUUGACGGAGCAACGCCGCGUGAGUGAUGAAGGUCUUCGGAUCGUAAAACUCUGUUAUUAGGGAAGAACAAAUGUGUAAGUAACUAUGCACGUCUUGACGGUACCUAAUCAGAAAGCCACGGCUAACUACGUG
rnacentral:rRNA from 1 species